GGAGCACGUGAAAUUCCGUGUGAAUCCGCGAGGACCACCUCGUAAGGCUAAAUAUUCCUGAAUGACCGAUAGCGUAAUAGUACCGCGAGGGAAAGGUGAAAAGAACCCCGGGAGGGGAGUGAAAAGAACAUGAAACCAUAAACUUACAAGCAGUAGGAGGACGACUAAAACGUCUGACUGCGUGCCUGUUGAAGAAUGAGCCGGCGACUUAU
rnacentral:rRNA from 1 species